AUCUGCCACAUAGCACUUUAUCUGUGAACUGCGAAUGGCUCAUUAAAUCAGUUAUCGUUUAUUUGAUAGUACCUUACUACAUGGAUACCUGUGGUAAUUCUAGAGCUAAUACAUGCUGAAAACCUCGACUUCGGAAGGGGUGUAUUUAUUAGAUAAAAAACCAAUGCCCUUCGGGGCUCCUUGGUGAAUCAUAAUAACUUAACGAAUCGCAUGGCCUUGCGCCGGCGAUGGUUCAUUCAAAUUUCUGCCCUAUCAACUUUCGAUGGUAGGAUAGUGGCCUACCAUGGUGGCAACGGGUAACGGGGAAUUAGGGUUCGAUUCCGGAGAGGGAGCCUGAGAAACGGCUACCACAUCCAAGGAAGGCAGCAGGCGCGCAAAUUACCCAAUCCCGACACGGGGAGGUAGUGACAAUAAAUACUGAUACGGGGCUCUUUUGGGUCUCGUAAUUGGAAUGAGUACAAUCUAAAUCCCUUAACGAGGAACAAUUGGAGGGCAAGUCUGGUGCCAGCAGCCAGUGUAGUCAUAUGCUUGUCUCUGUNNUNAUAUGCUU
rnacentral:rRNA from 1 species